AAAAACACACACAUACUCUCACAGUCUCACAAUUUGGCACUCUCACAGCAUAUACGCACAGAACACAUACUAAACUCCAUAUUUGCUUUUAUUCUAUAGAUAACACUAUACAAUUGGGAUUCAAUACACACCUCACACACAAAUCUCAAUUUUAAUACAGAGAAACAAAAAAUUCCCACUGAAAAUUUGUUCUUCUUCACAACACGCAUACACAGACACACCGAAUCACACACACACUCCUCACGAUACACUGAUCUAUAUGCAGAAUCGGAGAUGGAAGGAAAGGGGGUAGUGAGUGUUGAGGGAGAAACCUAAAUUUUGCGUUCGUGUUACUGUUUCGGUGAUGGCUUCGUCGGAAAACUUGGUUACCACAUUGUUCACUAUUAGCCUUUGUCUCUAUCGAAUUCGUCGAACUCCAGUGAAGCUAAAUCAUAAACCCAAAACACGAUCCCGUCAUCGACAACCCACUAUUCCGGUUAAUUUCGAAUAGAAAACUGCCAUUUGUAUCGAUCCUUGUUAUCCAUUCAGUAUUGGAUUUUUUUCUUUCGUCGAAUUGUUUAGGUUUGGGUUUUAACUCUUGGGUUUAAAGAUUGGAAUUUGAUCUUCGGGAUUUCUGUUUUGGGAUUUGUUAUUUCUGUUUGGAGUUGUCGAUUCGGUAGUGUAUUUUAAGUUUGUGUUGCUGGAUUCAAAUUUGUUCGGAUCGGAAUUUGUGAUAUCGAGUUGGAUCUUUGUCAUUAUUUAUUUUAUCAAGAAAUAUUCUUCGAAAGUUUCG
rnacentral:lncRNA from 1 species